rnacentral:lncRNA from 1 species
ACAAACGACACGGGCUUCCCACUGAAAGCUUUGGGGCUACAGCACUGCCAAUCCCAAGCUCUGUGGCUCUGAGAGUGCAGCCAAUCUUCACUUCAUAAGAUGGCUAUGAGGACAGAUUCCCCCAUCCUAGGUUAAGCCUGAGGUCUGCCCUGGGAGCUCUGCAAAGACCAGUGACAAGAGGAUUACUACUGGAUUCCUGACCUCAAGGAAUUGUUCCAUCUCACAAAGGCACGGGCUACCUCUGAGAGAGCACCUAAAUACACGACCAGCCCAAAAUGAUAAGCGGCAGCUGAGACAGGUGUGUUUGGGUGCUGCAGAAACAUGCCCACAUCCGGGAGCUCUUCAAACUCUUCAGCCAUCUCAAAGAUGGCUGAGCAAUGUUCCUGAUACUUGGUCAAGACUCUGAAUGGCAGGAACGACUGGAAACUGUCUUAGUACAGGCGGUGAGUUGUCCGACCUCCAAGGAGACUCCAAAGCAGCCACCCUUCUUCCCACCCUCGUUGUGACCAUGCUUCCCGGCGCUCUGCACUUCCUAACUCUGUCUCCUGCCAUGUGGCUGUCCGUCCACCACGUCUACCCUCCAUGCCACCUCUUAACAGCAUAGCUUCUAGUCUUUCCUCUGUUCUUCUUUGGGCAGCCACUGAGAUUUACAGCACGGUUGCCCUAGGGUGUCUUAGAAAUAUCUUCACAUAUCUUUUGAGUCCAUUCUCGAAUUCCUUUAUUAAUGAGACUAACCCCAAGAGAGGGCUCUGAUUUCCUCAGUAUCAUCUGGUAUACCAGAUGGGACUCCCCAAAUUCCGGUUACAGUAUCAGAAACAUCUUGGCGGGUGUAUUUUCCUGUAUCUGCCCUGAUAUUUAUAGACUUUAAGCAAUUCUCUAUAGAACAACAAAGUGGUUGGUGGAGACUGAAUAUUCGUAUAACAUUUUAGUAAGGAAGCCAUAAGCUAGUGUCACUAAAGUUUGCGGGUGUAGUGUUUAAAAGUUCCUUCUAAGCAAAAUGAUGAUCACGAAGACUUUAUUUAGAGACAAUUUUUUUUUUUUCCAAAUGAGUUCUAAGAAAUAGGAAAAGCCGAAAGAAACCAGUUGUUUGAGAUGAUUUCUGGGCCACUGACAAAGGCUUUUAUUCUUUGAAGAAUAGACAGAGAAUGGCCACUUGUGUAAUCCAGAUAUAGCACCUUAUAUACAUGAAACAGAGUUAAAUAUAGAGGAUGAUGGGUUAAAAAUUAGACCGCUUCUAAAGAGCAACAAUAUACAGCACAGCUUCUUCAAGGUUAAUAUACCCUUUGACAAGAAUUUAAAAUUCAUUUGAGGGAAGAAAAAACGUUCACACCAUCAACUUACACACUUUUAUCACUCCCAUCACGGCUGUCACCUCCACAACUCUUACCACGAUCACCGCCGCUUCAAGAACAACCAUCAUUGCCAUUACCACCACCACCAUCUCCACCAAGACCACCUCCUACCAACACCGUCAGCUACACCUUUCCUAAAACCAUUCCCAUCACCAUCACUACAACCUGUGCUGUCACCACCACCGUCACUGCCACUUCCACCAUUCUGAGUGCUCUGUGCACUGCAGGUGCCAAUGGAGACAGCAUUCCAUCAUGAGUUCACACAGGAGGAAGGAGAAAGGAGACCCCACUAUUCAACAAGGUGUCUGUUGGGGGAAAAACAGGGAAGAUACUACAUCUCAUCAGUUGUAAGUAUACUUCCUGGGGUAGGUUUUGAGCCUCAAAGGUGAGAAGCCCCAGGAGACCUCAUGUGCCUAGAUAAGGGAAACCCAAAGCCUGGCCCUGCAACAUCAGCAUCACCUGGCAAACAGAUGCUCAACGUACAGCCUCAACCUUGACUCAUCCGCCCUUCCUCAGGGCCCGGGGUAAUGCUACCAGAUCUCGCUUGGUCCACAUACUGCACAGCUCCCACACAACAAGACAGCCAUUGGUCACCCUGAGCAGGGUAUCCUGUGAGCUAGAUGGGACGUGCAGCUGGAAAGACUUGCUGAAGACAUGCUGUGGGGCUGUGAGGCUUGAUCCCAGUUUCUCCAUUUGUUAAUGCUGUGAACUCAGUCCCCCAGGGCCUCAGACUCCAUUUGCCAUAGGGCCCAGGCUGGUAGAAAUUAAACAGGGUUCUGAAUGAAAGCAGUAAGCUGCUCUAGCACAUCGGACGCCCCUCACAUGCACAGUGAGCACUCAGCGCAUCGCUGCCAGCACCUGACUACAGAGCACACUCAGGAGCACUGAGCACUUGGCCAUUGCCGAUGUGCCGCACACAGAGAUGGGAGUAAGUAUGGCGGGUGAGGGUCUGGUGUGAUGCGAGAGGACUCCAGGAUGAGAACUGCUUAUUGUUUCCAUUUUCCCUAGUCUACAAACAAUUCUGAUACUCGGGACUUCAAAGGAAAUGAAGAAACCUAGGAAAAUAUUUCUUCCAUGUCAAUUUUAAAUCCCACCAACCUUCUCUCUCUAUAAUUACAGCUGUCAGUGUUGGCAUCAAGGGAAAACGGUGUCCUUGGCUUUAAAAUGUGGCCAUUAGGGACUCAGUUAAAAAUAAAUUCUCUUCCCG